GAGAGAGAGAAAGAGAGAGACAGAGAGAAACGGGAUGAAUGGAUGGAGAAUUCAACUUUUGAUUGUACUUUUCGUCUCGUCGUCUGACAGUUUCUCUCUCUUUCUCUCUUUCUUUCUCGAUUCGAUUCCUUCUCUUUUCUCCCCCUUUGUGUACUUUUUCUC
rnacentral:ribozyme from 14 species